UUGGAGUAGAUGUUAGGUUGGUACACUCACGUUCCAACUCUGCUGCCAAUUCGCCUCUACCAAGAGCUCUACUGUAACACUGAAAUCACACGAUAAAAGAAGAAGAAAUCUGCACACCAGAAACUAACGCACACAAACUGUUUGACAAAAGGUCAGGAAGAGAAUACAGCAGAAAAAGAGAAGAAUGAGCAAUCAAGCGAAGUAUGCACACUACACUUCACUCAAUUUGGAGACGUAGUGCCCAACAAAGGAAGAAGAAGAUGAAUAGUAACAAUGGUAUUUUUGUGCAUCUCAGUCUAUCGAAAUCAAAGAUUAUAAAUAACUAGAGCAAGAGAGACAUGCCCCCGUUCCUGCAGAGAAUUAGCAACAAAUAGCAGUGGUCUGGUUUUUCAUUGUUUUUGUUUUAUUUUUGCUUUUUUAUCUUUCUUGAAAUUAGCAACAAUUCAAGAAUUAAUUGCUGUUGAUUUGGGCAGAUCAGUUGUUCAUUAUUCCGUCGUCUAAUCACAAUAUAUCCAUAUAUACCGCAAGCCCAAGGUAUGAGUUUUGGCAGUGGAUAAUCUCACCUUCUUCUCCCAAGGAAGCUGCUUUGAAUAUCUAAUUUUAAGUCCAUAUCCAUAGCACUCAGCUACUAAUUUCCAGC
rnacentral:lncRNA from 1 species